CUACUAGUUCUGGAACUUUUCAAGUUGAGU
rnacentral:piRNA from 1 species